CACAAGGGGUGAAGCCUGCGGUUCANUUGGAGUCAACGCCGGAAAUCUUACCGGGGGCGACAGCAGAGUGAAGGUCAAGCUGAAGACUUUACCAGACAAGCUGAGAGGAGGUGCAUGGCCGUCGCCAGCUCGUGCCGUGAGGUGUCCUGUUAAGUCAGGUAACGAGCGAGAUCCCUAUCUCUAGUUGCUACUGCUGCUCUCANGAGUANUAAAGCUAAUUAGAGGGACCGCCGCCGCUGGGGCGGAGGAAGGAGGGGGCUACGGCAGGUCAGUAUGCCCCGAAACCCUCGGGCCACACGCGGGCUGCAAUGGUAAGGACAAUGGGUUCCUAUUCCGAAAGGAGGAGGCAAUCCCCAAACCUUACCCCAGUUAUGAUUGAGGGCUGAAACUCGCCCUCNUGNANNUGGAAUCCCUANUAACCGCGUGUCAUCAUCGCGCGGNGAAUACGUCCCUGCUCC
rnacentral:rRNA from 1 species